CCUACGGGAGGCAGCAGUGAGGAAUAUUGGUCAAUGGACGAGAGUCUGAACCAGCCAAGUCGCGUGAAGGAUGACUGCUCUAUGGGUUGUAAACUUCUUUUAUAAAGGAAUAAAACGAGGCACGUGUGCCUUUUUGCAUGUACCUUAUGAAUAAGGAUCGGCUAACUCCGUGCCAGCAGCCGCGGUAAUACGGAGGAUCCGAGCGUUAUCCGGAUUUAUUGGGUGUAAAGGGAGCGUAGAUGGGUUGUUAAGUCAGUUGUGAAAGUUUGCGGCUCAACCGUAGAAUUGCAAUUGAUACUGGCAGUCUUGAGUAUAGUUGAGGUAGGCGGAAUUCGUGGUGUAGCGGUGAAAUGCGUAGAUAUCACGAAGAACCCCGAUUGCGAAGGCAGCUUACUAAACUGUGACUGACGUUGAGGCUCGAAAGUGUGGGGAUCAAACAGGAUUAGAUACCCUUGUAGUC
rnacentral:rRNA from 1 species